UGGGGAAUUUUGGACAAUGGGCGAAAGCCUGAUCCAGCAAUGCUGCGUGUGUGAAGAAGGCCUUCGGGUUGUAAAGCACUUUUGUCCGGAAAGAAAUCCUUGGCUCUAAUACAGUCGGGGGAUGACGGUACCGGAAGAAUAAGCACCGGCUAACUACGUGCCAGCAGCCGCGGUAAUACGUAGGGUGCAAGCGUUAAUCGGAAUUACUGGGCGUAAAGCGUGCGCAGGCGGUUUGCUAAGACCGAUGUGAAAUCCCCGGGCUCAACCUGGGAACUGCAUUGGUGACUGGCAGGCUAGAGUAUGGCAGAGGGGGGUAGAAUUCCACGUGUAGCAGGUGAAAUGCGUAGAGAUGUGGAGGAAUACCGAUGGCGAAGGCAGCCCCCUGGGCCAAUACUGACGCUCAUGCACGAAAGCGUGGGGAGCAAACAGGAUUAGAUACCCUGGUAGUCCACGCCCUAAACGAUGUCAACUAGUUGUUGGGGAUUCAUUUCCUUAGUAACGUAGCUAACGCGUGAAGUUGACCGCCUGGGGAGUACGGUCGCAAGAUUAAAACUCAAAUG
rnacentral:rRNA from 1 species